AGAUCCUGCAGAUUCGCCGAGUUGGCGAUUCACAAAAUGCAUGAAGUGCCGGUCACACCGUAGGCAUCAGUCUCCCUUUCCAGCAUGAUCCUUGCAGUCCAGCCACAAAGGAUGACCCCUGACAGUCUGCACCAUCCAAAGGGGUUUAGGAGAGAUUUGGGGAAUGGCUGGGGCCGCAGCCACAGACCUGGGGACCAGAGGCAUCAUGGCCCACGUAGGAGGACUCAGGCACCCCUUUGGGCAUGUGCCUCCUCUCCUGGCCUCAGACUCUCUCCUGAAGUAGGUGGACAGCAUCAUCUCUCGGUUCCUCCCAGCUUACAAGUUCUCUGUUCUAAAUCCAUCCAUCAAACACUAUUUUGAGGGUUUCGAAGUGCAGCCUGGGUGUUUUACAUUAUCCCACACACCUACCUCACACCUUCUAGAGUUCAAAAGUCUCUUUUGAGUGGCAUGUCAAACGGACACAUUUCUGGGCCCGAGGGGCUCUGUCUGGGAGCCUCUUCGUCCGAGGAGCUGACUGGUCACUUCCAAAUCCUGCAGGUGUCUUUGCUCCUGACAGCAGGUUGCACAGCGAGGACUUAAUUCUCCUAAAUUAAGACCUCUCUGUAUUACCCUGACGGCCCCUGAGUUCUUCAGUGUGAUGCGGCCAAGCGCAGUAAGAGAUGGAUGAAGACACAGUGGCGUCAGUAAAUACCAGAGGAUUGAGGGAAAGAAACCCAGCUGGCUCAGAACAAGUAGCCGAAGUACAAUUUUGUCACAAAUCGGGCAUGUUAUCACUGCCACGGGGCCAUACUCCUGCCCCGAAAACUGACUGAUGACUAAAUUCCUAGUUCAACCCCCUUCACCCUCAGUCAGGACACGCCACAUAAGUGCAUGCGGUUCCUGGGUACCGUGGCCGCGAGAGGGCCAGCCCGCCGGUAUCCCAGAUGCCCAUCCACAUCUCCCAGACUCCCUUGCGGGUAGGCGGGGUCACGUGACUGACUGUGGCCAAUGGGCUGUGAGUGGAAGUGGGCGGGGGCCGCGAACAGCGGGUGACACGCUGCGAGGUCCCCCUUCCUUCGCUGUGGCCAUGGAGGCCCCGAGGUGUGACUGGAGCAGCCCGAGGGCUGCGUGGAAGCCUCGGUCGUCGGGGGGAAGACUUGUGGGCGUCUUACAGCUAGAGGUUACUUUGUAGCGCAGCCUGGCUUCUCCUGCGUACGUGAGGACCUGGAAAGGAGUCGGCUACGCCCCUGGAACAGCUGCCGUGGGGUCCGCGCCUCUACUGCGCGCCGGAACUCCGUGUCCCCUCCGUAGUAAACUGGGAUGCAGGAUCUAACCGGCGGGGUGGGCGUGCUGGAGGAGUGCAUUUAAACGUCCAGCCAGUGCCUGGCACCCGGGAGGGGCCCGGGCGAUGUCAGUUGUCGUCCGGAACCCCAGAGCCAUGACUCCGCUCCCUCCGGAGCUUCACGGUCUCACAGGGAGACAGCCCCCUCCAUGGGCCGAGUGAUAUCACCUUGCCAUCCGCGGGUGCAUUUGGUCAAAGGUGCAGAUGCCUGUGUCUGGGCGUGAACCCAGCACUUCUCAGAAGUGUGAAUUCUGCGCUCGCCUCCCCUAUGGCUGCACACCCGGGACCAAAAGCGGCGGAGCCGUCCGGAGUCAGUCCUGCCGCAGGCCUGAGCUUUCUUAAGCGGGCCCUGCGGACGGAUGAUCUGAUGCACUCUUCAUGACAGUCUCGGAUGUGGUACAGGAGGACCCGGGACGCCAAGAAGAGAGGCUGCUUGGUCUUCCAGCUCCCAGUGGGCCCUGUGGGGACCCAAACCAGCACCUCAGUGGAGGUGUGCAUCGAGUUGCUUGUGCCCUGUCCUGCAUGGCUCACAAGGUUGUUGGAAGGGCAGAUGCAAGCAGGGACGGGGAAGGCCUUCAUCCCCCGUGACACUCUGCACCUCUAGCGGGAGCGGUGACAAACCUGAUUUGUCUGGUUUGAAUUCAGACAAAUUCAGGUUUGUCUGAAUGAGGAACCCUGGGUACUAGCCAUCAUACAGUGCUGCCAUCUUUGGGGCCCAGUAUUCCACAUUGUGCCUGGCACAGAGCAGGUGCCCUGUCUGUGUGUGCUGUUGAAAGGACGAAAUCACAGCCUGGGCCAGGCCCGCUUACCGCUGCUUAGACCGCCAGCCCACAGGUGUUCAGAAGCCCCGCGUGACAAGGGAGAUCACCUUGUGGGGAAGUGAACACUCUCUCCUCUCUCCCCAGACCAUGCAGCCACUGGGCGCCUUUUACACGGUCUGAGAUACCAGGUCUGCGCCCCUGGUUGCAUGCAGGGCAGGGGCGGGAGGGGGGGACCCGACACAGCAGGCAGCCCUCUUGGUUGGUGGGGAGGGGCCUGAUGACUGGCCUGGCUGCCACUCCUGGCAGGCAGGGUUUAGAUGGGGGACGCCUCAUCCAGCCCCAGUGUCCAUUUUUCACUCAGAGGAAACCCUUGAUGGGCGCUGUGAGGCUGGCGGGCUGGCUGCGGCUGGCUUGGUGCUGGGGCUAAUGAAGCCACCGUGAGCCUCGUCACCUCCUAACAACUUGGCGGGAGCUCCUGCCGGACUAUGUGGCUGUUCAAGGGCCACGUACGUCCAUGGUGGAUGUCACCACCAAAGGCCGGGCUGGGCACUGAUGCAGCUAGGGAACCCGUGCCAUGUCAUUCAUUAAAGGAGGAUCUUUGUGACCACUGCUCAGCCUAGCAGGUCCUUUCUUGUUACCAGGGAAGUUGCAGUCAAAGAGCUUGGUGGGGAGCGGCAGCCAGGCACAACCCGGCUCAUCUCAGGAGGGGACCGUGUCUCUUAGCGCUUCUGGGGGAGAGAUGGCCUCCGACUGGCACGGCCAUCCUAGCUGUGGGGGUCUCCCGCGGCCCCACGUGCCUCUGCCCCUUACUUGGGAACUGUAACCCUUAGAGAUCAGAAGGAGCAUGGGGGUAAGACAAUUCAAUAAACUCACAAUAAAACAUCCAAAGCCUUUCA